rnacentral:rRNA from 1 species
AUUGAACGCUGGCGGCAGGCUUAACACAUGCAAGUCGAGCGAGCGGCGGACGGGUGAGUAAUGUCUGGGAAACUGCCUGAUGGAGGGGGAUAACUACUGGAAACGGUAGCUAAUACCGCAUACCAUCAGAUGUGCCCCGAUGGGAUUAGCUAGUAGGUGGGGUAAUGGCUCACCUAGGCGACGAUCCCUAGCUGGUCUGAGAGGAUGACCAGCAAAACUGGAACAGAGACAGGGUCCAGACGCCGACGGGAGGCAGCAGUGGGGAAGAUUGCACAAUGGGCGAAAGCCGGAUGCAGACAUGCCGAGUGUGUGAAGAAGGCCUGCGGGUUGUAAAGCACUUUCAGCGAGGAGGCGUUACUCGCAGAAGAAGCACCGGCUAACUCCGUGCCAGCAGCCGCGGUAAUUC